rnacentral:rRNA from 1 species
CGUAGUCAACAUGCCCAGGGGACGUGGAUAACCUCGGGAAACUGAGGAUAAACCACGAUAAGUCACUACUUCUGGAAUGGGUAAUGACUCAAAUCUACAUGGCCCCUGGAUUGGACUGCGGCCGAUCAGGCUGUUGGUGAGGUAAUGGCCCACCAAACCUGUAACCGGUACGGGCUCUGAGAGGAGGAGCCCGGAGAUGGGCACUGAGACAAGGGCCCAGGCCCUAUGGGGCGCAGCAGGCGCGAAACCUCUGCAAUAGGCGAAAGCCUGACAGGGUUACUCUGAGUGAUUUCCGUUAAGGAGAUCUUUUGGCACCUCUAAAAAUGGUGCAGAAUAAGGGGUGGGCAAGUCUGGUGUCAGCCGCCCCGGUAAUACCAGCACCCCGAGUGGUCGGGACGUUUAUUGGGCCUAAAGCAUCCGUAGCCGGUUCUACAAGUCUUCCGUUAAAUCCACCUGCUUAACAGAUGGGCUGCGGAAGAUACUAUGGAGCUGGGAGGCGGGAGAGGCAAGCGGUACUCGAUGGGUAGGGGUAAAAUCCGUUGAUCCAUUGAAGACCACCAGUGGCGAAGGCGGCUUGCCAGAACGCGCUCGACGGUGAGGGAUGAAAGCUGGGGGAGCAAACCGGAUUAGAUACCCGGGUAGUCCCAGCUGU